GAUGAACGCUGGCGGCGUGCCUAAUACAUGCAAGUCGAGCGAACGGACGAGAAGCUUGCUUCUCUGAUGUUAGCGGCGGACGGGUGAGUAACACGUGGAUAACCUACCUAUAAGACUGGGAUAACUUCGGGAAACCGGAGCUAAUACCGGAUAAUAUUUUGAACCGCAUGGUCCAAAAGUGGAAGACGGUCUUGCUGUCACUUAUAGAUGGAUCCGCGCUGCAUUAGCUAGUUGGUAAGGUAACGGCUUACCAAGGCAACGAUGCAUAGCCGACCUGAGAGGGUGAUCGGCCACACUGGAACUGAGACACGGUCCAGACUCCUACGGGAGGCAGCAGUAGGGAAUCUUCCGCAAAGGGCGAAAGCCUGACGGAGCAACGCCGCGUGAGUGAUGAAGGUCUUCGGAUCGUAAAACUCUGUUAUUAGGGAAGAACAUAUGUGUAAGUAACUGUGCACAUCUUGACGGUACCUAAUCAGAAAGCCACGGCUAACUACGUG
rnacentral:rRNA from 1 species